rnacentral:lncRNA from 1 species
CAUUGAUAUUGAUGUCACUUUGAGUUUAAAUUAUUAUAGAAAAAGAAUUUAAAAACAACCUUUAAAGGAAAUAUUUCCUCUCUUCCCUUAGGCUUACACUUUCCAAGCACUUGAGGAGUGAACCCGAUCGUCCCAGGAUGACUGCAGCUCCUGACGUCCCCGCACCCCUGACCUUGGAGCACAUGACCCUGACCCAUCGUGUUGUGGAAACGACCCCUCUGGGCAGCCCCCAGGAAUCUCCAUACAACCCAGACAACAAAGUCGCCCGGUAGUGGGGAGUGAUCAGGCGCCCUGCACUUCCCGAGGCAUCCGUUCCAGGUUGGAGAGGGGCAGAGAGUCGCGGCGCGCCCCAUCCCGCCCGAGGGCUUCGGCCACCGGUCCGUGGGUCUGGCCCCGGGCGGCCUCUCUCGGGAGCGGAGGCAGCAGGACCCGGGUCCCGUCCGGCUUUCCUGGGGAGGCUCGAGGCCGCAGAGCCGGGCCCGCCUGCGGCGGAGUCUUCUUUCCGAGGGCCUGGGGCAGGGGUGGGCGCGGAGGGCAGGAGCCGGGGCCGGGCGCGAGUCUUGCUACCGGGCCGAGCACACGAGGAUCGGCGGAGCGCGAAGGCAGAGCUCUGCGGAGCCUCGGCUCCUUUCCCCGGCCCGGCUCCCGUUUUAAAGGAAUGUUAUUGUUUAAGGAGACCCCAUUGAACUAUUUCCUGCUCAUUGUCACCUUCUCCCCGCGGAGGUUCUCACCGAAAGGUAAUAAACCAGCUGCUGCCCACGCCGCUUGACGCUGCGGCCGGCGGGGCAACUGCGCCCGCCCUCAGCGAAGCCUCCGCCGAGGGGACCCAGCGCCGCGCCCUGAGCCCUCGCCGUCCAGCCCCGCUCGCGCGUGGGGCGAGGCGUCUCCUCGGCGG